GAGAGCUAGAAACAAUAAUCCUUGUAUUAAGAGAUUGCUAUUGGGCCUAAAGUAUUUGGGUUGGGUUGAAUGUCCGCUUCAAUCAAAAUUUUAAUCUGAAGCAAACAAGCUUUAUAAAUUCUUUGUUAUUCAAACCCAGCAGCCCACUCAAUGCUUGUUACUGAUCCACAUAAACAUUAACAAAGCCCGAACCAUCUCAAGCACUUUAUGCUUUAUUAUACUACGCAGUGAUCAGAAACAAAGCUUUGCAUUGCAUUCCUGGGACGACUCUGUGAUGGCUCGAGCUGUGUGACGAUUUCGAAUGAAUGUUAUCUUCAAGGUAAAAUCACUAUCACUCAGAAGCAUAUGAUACUGGUUGGCACUUGGUAGUGGAAAUGAAAGAUGGAGUGGUUUUCCAACGAUUGCACAUCAUCUGCUGCCAAUUCUUAUCUUCAGGUUUGAGAACUAACUUGGCCCAGUUUAUCUCUUCAAAUUUGAUUGGCCAAGGGGAGUGAGCCCAGAUAAUUGGUCACUUCAUAAGCAAGUGCUCCAACUGUAUAUAAAGACCUAUUUAGUGAAAAUUAAUGUAAGUCAAGCCCUUCAUUCAGCAAAAUGAUAAAAAAA